GUGCUCACUCCGACAGCACAUAUAAUAAAAUUGGAACAGUACAGAGAAGGUUACAGAGAACGGCUCCCGCACAAGGAUGACAUGCAAAUUCAUGAGGCGCUCCAUAUAUUU
ensembl:snRNA U6 U6 spliceosomal RNA